GUGAAAUCUUUGGAACUCUAUCAUGCAAAAACAUGUUCUUUUUACUGCUUCCAAGGCAAUUUAGCUGUACAUUUUUUCCUUGGAGCAUAUGUUAUUCUUGAUUUGGAUUAUUCUAAUCGAAUGGCCAGGACAUCAUGAAAUUUAUUGCACAUUACUGUGUCAUCCAUCUCUCACAUUAUUUAAUUUUUCUAUUAUCUAGUCUUGGUUUUUUUAGUUUUAGUUGUUGGUUGAUAUUUGAGUUUAGCUUUUCCUGCCCAAUUAGUGGCACGUCAUUUUUCAGUGCUGUUCAGGUAGUUGUGAUAACUGGAAGCUGCUGAUGGUAUAGAGUUAUGAACUUAAAAAGAAUGCAUUCUGUGUGUGCGCCUUUGGGUUGCAUAUUAACCAUGGUUCAUUUCCUUGUAUGACCAUACAAUUAAUCUGCCUAAUCUUCUUUGCUGAAGGCUCAUGAUCUCUUCUCCUAUUGGAGCAUAAAG
rnacentral:misc_RNA from 1 species